UACGUAGGGUGCAAGCGUUAAUCGGAAUUACUGGGCGUAAAGCGUGCGCAGGCGGUUUUGUAAGACAGUGGUGGAAUCCCCGGGCUCAACCUGGGAACUGCCAUUGUGACUGCAAGGCUAGAGUGCGGCAGAGGGGGAUGGAAUUCCGCGUGUAGCAGUGAAAUGCGUAGAUAUGCGGAGGAACACCGAUGGCGAAGGCAAUCCCCUGGGCCUGCACUGACGCUCAUGCACGAAAGCGUGGGGAGCAAACAGG
rnacentral:rRNA from 1 species